rnacentral:rRNA from 1 species
AUUGAACGCUGGCGGCAUGCUUUACACAUGCAAGUCGAACGGCAGCACGGGUGUUUGCACCUGGUGGCGAGUGGCGAACGGGUGAGUAAUGCAUCGGAACGUGCCCAUGAGUGGGGGAUAGCCCGGCGAAAGCCGGAUUAAUACCGCAUACGCCCUUAGGGGGAAAGCGGGGGAUCCUCGGACCUCGCGCUAUUGGAGCGGCCGAUGUCGGAUUAGCUAGUAGGUGAGGUAAAGGCUCACCUAGGCGACGAUCCGUAGCUGGUCUGAGAGGAUGAUCAGCCACACUGGGACUGAGACACGGCCCAGACUCCUACGGGAGGCAGCAGUGGGGAAUUUUGGACAAUGGGCGCAAGCCUGAUCCAGCCAUGCCGCGUGAGUGAAGAAGGCCUCGG